rnacentral:rRNA from 1 species
GAUGAACGCUGGCGGCGUGCCUAAUACAUGCAAGUCGAGCGAACCGACGAGGAGCUUGCUCCUCUGACGUUAGCGGCGGACGGGUGCGUAACACGUGGAUAACCUACCUAUAAGACUGGGAUAACUUCGGGAAACCGGGGCUAAUACCCGAUAAUAUAUUGAACCGCAUGGUUCAAUAGUGAAAGUCGGUUUUGCUGUCACUUAUAGAUGGAUCCGCGGCGCAUUAGCUAGUUGGUUAGGUAACGGCUUACCAAGGCGACGAUGCGUAGCCGACCUGAGCGGGUGAUCCGCCACACUGGAACUGAGACAGGGCCCAGACUCCGACGGGAGGCAGCAGUAGGGAAUCUUCCGCGAGGGGGGAGAGCGUGACGGAGCAACGCCGCGUGAGUGAUGAAGGUCUUCGGAUCGUAAAGCUCUGUUGUUAGUGAAGAACAAAUGUGUAAGUAACUAUGCACAUCUUGACGGUACCUAAUCAGAAAGCCACGGCUAACUACGUG